rnacentral:lncRNA from 10 species
CUCCAUGACAAAGUCGGCUUCAGUUCUUUCCCCAGGCAACCGGGAUCCUGCUUGAGCUUGAGCUCCAGCUGAGGCCCUACUGCCUUGCGUGGUUCUUGCUAGGUCCCCUCCUGAGGGUUGGAUCUGUCCCUAAUUCUCAGCUGUUGACUCAGGUCCUGCUCACAGUGGACAAGUGACCUCCAACCAGGAUCAUGUCACUCCAGGACCCUGAUGGAUACAGAUGGCAAUAGAAAGCCUCUCUGAGGAAGUGACAUUUAAGCUAGACUUUCGGGAUGAGCGGGAGCCAGCCAUGUGAAGAACGGGGGAGGAGAGACACUCCAGGCAGGAGGAAGUCGCGUGUGAAAACUCCAAGGUGGAAAGAGCUCACUGUUGUGUUCAAGGAACAGAGAGAAGGGCAGUGUGUCUAGAGUGCAGCACUCAGGAGAGACAGCACGAGAUGAGAUUUUCUGAAUUUCAUCCCGAUCACACAGCACACAGCAGAGGAAGUGGUUGGCCUGCCCUCCGGGUCACCUCUCUCCUCAUGCUGGCCCUUACGAAAGAUAAAAAUACUGAUAACUAAUGCUUAUUGAACACUUACUAUGUUUCAGGCAUUGUUUUAAAUAAAUUUAUAUUAAAUAAAUAGUAAUUGUUCUAACUGCAAUUAAAGAAAAGAAUAAG